rnacentral:rRNA from 1 species
GCGCGAAAACUUUACAAUGCUGGCAACAGCGAUAAGGGAACCUCGAGUGCCAGGUUACAAAUCUGGCUGUCGAGAUGCCUAAAAAGCAUUUCAUAGUAAGGGCCGGGCAAGACCGGUGCCAGCCGCCGCGGUAACACCGGCGGCUCGAGUGGUAACCGUUAUUAUUGGGUCUAAAGGGUCUGUAGCCGGCCGGAUAAGUCUCUUGAGAAAUCGGGCAGCUUAACUGUCAGGGUUUCAGGAGAUACUGUCUGGCUCGAGGCCGGGAGAGGUGAGAGGUACUUCAGGGGUAGGGGUGAAAUCUUGUAAUCCUUGAAGGACCACCAGUGGCGAAGGCGUCUCACCAGAACGGACCUGACGGCAAGGGACGAAAGCUAGGGGCACGAACC